CACACACACACACACACAGGUCCAUCCCAACCCAUGUAGGUUCAUAUCUGGGACAGAUAUGAGAACUGUAUUUGUUCCCGGGACCCUAAAGCCCAGGUCCUGCGUGGCUUCAAUACUCUUUGCCCCUGAGGUCAGCACCUCCCCCAGAUGGCCCACACUGUGCAUACAGAAACCCCUAUCACAUGAAGAACAAAUGACACCCACACUCUCCUCUCCCUCUUUCAUGGGUCAGAUCUCUCAGCCUCACCCCAACAUCUCCAGGGAUGCCUCGCUGCACCAAGGAAGGGAAGCCUGUUCAUCUUGCCUCCAGACUCUACCCUUUUGUGUCACCUCUACCUUGUUGGCUGAGGACAUCUGUCCUUCUCACACAGUGUCCCUCUUGCUCAGCAGUGCUCACGGAAGCUUCCCCGCAGUUGACAUCAAGAGGAAUGCAGAGAGAGACCUCCUGGGACAAGUGCCGAUAGCUUAAGCUCACCCUGCUAAGCAGAGCGGAGGCUGUUCUGCCACCCUAGGAAGGGACACCAAGGGCAGCGACUGCGAGUUGGCCUAUCCAAAGAGAGUAACGUCCAGGAGGAUUAAUUUUCAGAAGCACCCUCCGACCUAUCAGAAAAUGGAGGAAAGACUACCACACAGAGAGAAGUGAAACCUGACCCUCAGCUCAGGACCUUACUCACGCCCCUGCCAGGCUUAAGGAAGGCUCACUGCACCGAUGCCAUACUCCACAGCCUCUCCUGCUGGUUUACCUUGUGGAGGUGAAGCUGACUCAGCAGACACAUUCAGGUGUUUGAUGGGAAAUUAAAAUCCAAAGUCUGCAGGAAUGUCCUGGGCCUCAGGAUUGAGGCCCGGCAAAGUGUCUGCCCUGAGUCUGGAGGCUGUGUCCUGUGCUCACGGGAAGGAGAAUGGAAUCCUCAAAGUAUUUACUGAUCUCAGCACAAGACGCCCACAAAGCCAAUGUCUGAGUUACUGAAUAAUCCCCGUCCCAACUUCCUCACCUGGUUUACCUCACCUAGGGGCUCACAGCUUUGCUCUCUCUUGAAACAGGAAGCCUUGCAAUUGGUUGGUGCCCUGACCUCUCCAAAGGGUCCUGAAUACCCAUAACCUUGGCCUCAGUAGACAAUGAGCCACCUUCUUGCCCCUAAGUUGGUCCCCAAACCUUGCCCUCUUUGUCACUCAAUAACACAGCAAACCCCACCACCAUGCCCUCAGCAAACCCUCAACAAAUCCACAUGGCUGGGGAAGCAAAGGCAGCCUCCGGGAGAUGAACAGACAGAAAGGACCACAGUGGGCUGGCUGCUCACCUCUCUGAGGCCUCACUCCAGGCUCACAGCUUGUCAACAGGACUCCUGCGGAGAAACAGCAGGGAAAAGGUGAGCAGACACCCAGACAGACCCUGUAGUCAGCCUCAUCCAAGCCUCUGCUUAGCCUGGACUUCCUAUGCCCCAGGGCAGAAGAGACAAGAGAGGCUGCCCAAAGAUGCUAGCUAGGCCUGUGUCACAGAGUGAAGCCAGUGUCAGUUCAGAGCUGCUGGUGACCUGUGCCCUGAGAGAUGUGAACUACACACACCACUGCACCCUAUGACCCCACCCUAACUAUCCAGAGCAGCAAGGACGAUUGUCUGGUGGCUGGACACAUAGGACUGGGCCUCACAUUCCCUUUCAAGGUCAUAUGUGGACCACGGUCCAGCAGGGCCCAGGAGAUCAGAGGAGAGGGAAUCAAGGCCCAUAUAUACCAGGUACUCUGACCCAGCCCAAUUCAGCUAUGUCACUGGCUUACCCUGUGACUCUGGGCUGGCCCUAUAUCCGCCAGAACCAGCAGGUACCAGCAGGUACAUCCAACACCAGAGGGCUUGAGCAAACACAACUUAACUGCCACCCUCAGUCUCUGAGCAAUGGGUGCUG